UCCCCAUAGCUCAGCCUGUAGAGCCUGAGACACUUAAUCUCAGAGUUGUGGGUUCGAGCCCUGCAUUGUGCAAAA